rnacentral:rRNA from 1 species
CAGAAGUCCCAAGCGUUGUUCGGAUUCACUGGGCGUAAAGGGUGCGUAGGUGGUGAGGUAAGUCGGAUGUGAAAUCUCCAGGCUCAACCUGGAAAUGGCAUCGGAAACUACCUUGCUCGAGGUUUGGAGGGGGGACUGGAAUACUUGGUGUAGCAGUGAAAUGCGUAGAUAUCAAGUGGAACACCAGUGGCGAAGGCGAGUCCCUGGACAAAACCUGACACUGAGGCACGAAAGCUAGGGGAGCAAACAGGAUUAGAUACCCUGGUAGUCCUAGCUGUAAACGGUGCUUAUUUGCUGUAAAAGGAAUCGACCCCUUUUGUGGCGUAGCCAACGCGUUAAAUAAGCCGCCUGGGAAGUACGGUCGCAAGAUUA